GUGACCCUGUUAGAACUAAUGGGGUGAUCUACCAGGCUCAAAGAAUGUGGUUCACUUUGAUCACUUCCCGUACUUCUGGCAGCAACCCCAGGUCAUGUGCUCCUGUCAGCCCCAUUCUGUGGCUGGGAGUAAAGAAGCUGUGAGGUGUUCUAGAACCUGUCCAGUGAAGUGUGGCUGUUGAGUGUGGGAUGAGCGUGCCAUUCCUGCCGGGGACUCCAGGCCUGGCCAAGCCAGAACAGCUCCGGCCUCUAGGUGUGGCUCCAGGACAAUCAACCCUAGGGGAGAGCAGCUGAGGCCACACUCGUCAAAGUUGCAGAGGAAGUUUCUCUGGCAGUCAGCCUGCUCCCUCUACUUGUCUCUGUUGGUGGAGACCGAACACAAAGUGCAGUGACUCAGAAGCCUUUGAGAGGGUGACUGGGGGCCUGGCCACCGCAAGGCACAGAGGCAGUGAGAUGGAUCGACCCAAAACGACAGUGUGCUGGGGAAAGAAGAAAUCAAGGCAGAAGGAAGAAGAAAAUGAACUCCAAGAAAUUCUGCCCAGUGAGCCUCAACAGCCCAAAGACCGUUUUUCAAAAUUCAGUGGGUGGCUUAUGAAAGUCCCCAGGAAAAGAAAACCAGACACUGCUAUUCAUCAGAAAGAAACUCCCAAAGGAGGAGUUGAAAAAGUGUCUAGAAAAUGUUCUGAUCUGUGAUCAGAAAAAGUGGACCGAGUCUGCCUCCUCAGUGUUCCUUGAAAUCUACCAGCUACUGAAAGAAGCUGUAGAUGCAGUCCGACACAUUGGGCCAUCCGUCACCAGACGGGUUCAAGCCAUGGUUCUGGAAACAUUUUCAAAGUUUCUGGAAAGCUACAAGGAUAAGGCUGAAGUCUUCAUCCAGCAGAACACCAGUGACCACACCUUUCCCGAGCUGCAUGUGCUGGAAAACUGCUGCAUCCUCAGGAAGACAUGGUGGUGGCUGAGCAGGGCGCACGUUCCCUGGGCACGCUUGGACCCAGCUGUGCAAGGUGCCAUCAAAGUCAUUGAGGACCAUGGCCGGGACCACCUCCUGCCUCGAGUCAGAGCCCUGUGCCAGAGUCUGCUGAGUUGUCACUUCGGAGAGAAGAACAAGGAUCUGGUCCAAUCUCUGCGGUCCCUGUGGCAGAGCCUGGAGCACUGCCCCAACAUGCACCCUACUCCCACAUACGAGAGCCUUGUGAGGAGUCUGAAUAUGGUGGUCUUUGGGGAGUACGUCCAGGCCCUGGCUGCUUAUCUCAGGAGGCUGGUGCCCAGGACUUCGGGGCACCUCCGUGCUCAGGUGGAAACGGACAUCUGGAAGCUGGGCACCACCUUUAGGGAGCACAGGGGCCCAGCUUUGGACGAUCUACAGGAGUACAUCCUCCAGCUCAGUGAGAGCAGAGACAGACAGACUGUGGAUCAGUGGCUGGCCUCCUUCAGUGACAGUUUCCCUGGUUAUCUGAGCAGACAGGGCAGAUCCACGGCUGUGGAGGAGGAGACUGCGAUCAGGGGACGCUCCUCAUUCUGCUGCAGACUUCUCCAGAACUUAAGGGCCUGCUGGCACCGUUGCUGCCCUAGCAGACGUGGAUGUGAGCUCUAGUUUCAGGAAUCUGCUUGUUCUUGGGGCUGUGGGAGUUAUGUGGCCCCGGUACCCAGCUAAAGCUAAGGAUCUGGGCGCCCCUGGCCACUGGAUGGCCACUUCACAAAUGGCAGCCUGAUAUCUAGAAGGAAGCCGAUCCUUCUCAAUUCUGGAUUCUUCAAUCAGAAAGAACUCUGAGAACUGACUGCAGCUAUCACAGACACCGGGCGAUGAAAGGCCGGCACAGUCAGUGAUCAACCCAGAAGAACGGGAGGGCAACAGGGAUGGCCAAGGACAGAUUAAGACACUCCUGGCUUGGAACGUGGUGGGAAGGAAGACACCCUGGAGGGAGAGUGAGGACGAGAGGGGCUAAGAAGAAAGCUAGAGCCCAAAGGAAGUUCCUCCCCAUCCUGGCUGCAUCGUGUGCCUUUCUUGUGCAUGUAACAACUUUAUUGAGAUACAGGUUACAUAGCACGCAAGUCACUCACUUAACUUUAAUGCACCAUUUGAUGGCUUUUGGUAUAUUCGCAGACUCGUGCAGCCACACCACAAUAAAUUCUAGAACAUUUUCAUUACCCUAGAAAGAGACCCCGUACCCGUCAGCUAUUAACCCCAAUCCCUCUUCCCCGCCCUCCCCCCAGCCCUAAGCAACUGCUACUCUACUUUCUGUUUGUAUAGAUGUGCCUCUUCUGGGCAUUUUUUCUAACUGAAUUGUGUAAUAUGUGGUCUUUUGUGAUUUGCUUCUUUCACUUAGCAUCAUGUUUCAUGGUUCGUCGAUAUCGUGACAUGUAUCAGUAUUUUAUUCCUUUUUAGAGCUGAACAGUAUUCCACUAUAUGGAUAGUCCAUGCUUUGUUUAUCCAUUCAUCCAC
rnacentral:lncRNA from 1 species